GUUUGAUCAUGGCUCAGAUUGAACGCUGGCGGCAGGCUAACACAUGCAAGUCGAGCGGUAGAGAGAAGCUUGCUUCUCUUGAGAGCGGCGGACGGGUGAGUAAUGCCUAGGAAUCUGCCUGGUAGUGGGGGAUAACGUUCGGAAACGGACGCUAAUACCGCAUACGUCCUACGGGAGAAAGCAGGGGACCUUCGGGCUUGCGCUAUCAGAUGAGCCUAGGUCGGAUUAGCUAGUUGGUGAGGUAAUGGCUCACCAAGGCGACGAUCCGUAACUGGUCUGAGAGGAUGAUCAGUCACACUGGAACUGAGACACGGUCCAGACUCCUACGGGAGGCAGCAGUGGGGAAUAUUGGACAAUGGGCGAAACGUGAUCCAGCCAUGCCGCGUGUGUGAAGAAGGUCUUCGGAUUGUAAAGCACUUUAAGUUGGGAGGAAGGGUUGUAGAUUAAUACUCUGCAAUUUUGACGUUACCGACAGAAUAAGCACGGCUAACUCUGUGCCAGCAGCCGCGUAAUACAGAGGGUGCAAAGCGUUAAUCGGAAUUACUGGGCGUAAGCGCGCGUAGGUGGUUCGUUCAGUGGAUGUGAAAGCCCGGGCUCACCUGGGAACUGCAUUCAAAACUGACGAGCUAGAGUAUGGUAGAGGGGUGGUGGAAUUUCCUGUGUACC
rnacentral:rRNA from 1 species